CGCCACGUCUGUGGGUGAAGACAACAUAAUACUGACGCAAUCAUGUGGCACGCAUGGUUUAUUAAUCCGGUGAUGGUUCUUAAUCGUUUAGAUAUCUCCGGACUCCCCGGACCACUGAAGCUUUUUAGCUGUCCUGCUUUAUGUGACUAGAUGGACACCAUGAUGGAAAAAACAGAAGCGAAAUAUAAAUAUCAAGUGUCGCUUAUUACGUAACGACAAUUCUAUACGAUGCUACUCACAAUGACUGAAGAUUCGUCACGCGAUCAUAUGGACAUUACAACAAUACGGACGAGUACAAUUAAAGGCGCCGCAGCAAACUGAGAGAGAGGAAGUUUUAGUUUUCUAUUCCGUUUACAAUGAUAUUUGAAUCAAACGAUCGUAGACCAACUCAGAGGAGGAGACUGCAGUGAUGAGGUUGUACUGAAGGAAAAAUUACCGCCUCUCCUUCAACUUGAAGAUUUGAUUCGCGAAAAUCGAUGUUUACACCUUCGCACAGUCCCAUAAAUCGAAAUGUGGAUCCAUUAUGAACACGAAACUUAUAUGGUCGGAUUUUAAAGUGUGAUGAAAUAUUUUAUAUCCAGACACACGUAAGUGGGGGAUGGUGAACUGGUUUCUAUGUGUUAUUUAUUCAGUAUCAUUCUUCCUUCAACGUGCUGCUAAGAGGUCACUUCGUUGAGGCACGACUCGAUUACCCCACAUCAAGACAACAGAGUGUGGAAAAAAAAUUUCGUUGGCGCAUUUCUUCAUUGAAUUUAGGAUUGGUAUUGCACGAGCGAAUAGGAUGUUUCAUUUUCAGCCUUUGGAAUGGUUGCAAAGCCGCAGUACUUUAAUUUUUUGUUUCCUUAUUUCAGUUCAGGUGAAAAGAUCCUCGCAUUUCGACCGUGCAUCAAGAGAGAAGGAUAUACGGAUUCCAGGACGUCCUCGUUGGUCGAUGAUCUACGACGCAAGUUGUACGGUUCGUUCUUCUCCACGCCCCGUACCGCGCUACUCGACGGUUAGCUAGCCGUGAAUCCAGGGAAAAUACCAAGCGAAAACAUACCGAAAAAAUUUCUCCGCAAUCGAGUGAUUGCGGUUGAAGUUGCGGACCAUUGACGUCAUCUUUGAUCGCGCAGCGCUAUCUUCUUGGAAACGGUGAUGUAGCCGAUGGUAACACAAGGCAGUAGCUAUGGGUUGUAGAAACAGCACGUCAUAAGCAAAAUGGGCUGGUGCGCGCUACGAAGUGCGCCCACACCGCUACCACUGCGGCUCUUCGCUUGAUUUUACUGUCAACUUUCUGUCUACAAAAUUCCAGUACACAGCAAGCUUGAUUCGAAUAAUUCCGGAUGACUAACACGUAGCCUGCUGUCCACCGAUGCUGGCCCAUUGUCGGCAAUCUGUAGUACAAACAACGGCAUAUUUUGGAAUUCUCGUCCACCCCUGAUACUGAACCCAAAGCCCCGCGUUCCCCUGGUCAACUCAACAGCGUGGUAUUGUCCACCAUCCCCGUCGCCUGCUUGUUCAUCCUGUAGAACGGGAUUCACCGAUGUGUCGAUUAGGUUCGAUUCAAUAUGGCUGUGACACGAAAUACCUUUUGCGAUAACGAGGGAGUGCUGCAGCAAUUAUCAUCCAAUGGAUAACCGAUGCUGUCCACACUUCGCCGCUGGAGACCCCUCGAUGAUUCUCCCUAUAGUAGAACCUGCCUUAUUCAAUGAUGAUAUGAUGACAAAUCCGAAUCCUUCAUUUUCCACCCUUGACACGGAGAUAUCGUAUGGAUACUGUGGAUUC